AUGUCAUCGCUGGUGAAGGAAGACUUGGAGAAAAAACUGUUUAAGCCGCUGGCACAGAAUCUCUGCGAGUUUAUUGAGAUCGAGGUCUCUGUCCAGGACAGGUAUUUCCUCUGUGUGUCAGUGACCAAAACUGAUGAAGUAAAAAUCACCAUGGUGAAGCACUACAGAGUAGGGCUGGAUGAGAAGUAUGAAGUAACAAAAAGGUGGUCCUUGAGUGAUCUGCGGAUGAUUGACGGAAAAGAAGCAGAUACCGACAAUCCAUUCUUUGAUCUGCACUUCAAGAAAGUCUACAGCUUGGAGGCCUACAGCUGUGCCUCUAAGUACUCCUUUGCUCGAACGGUGAGCAGGCUGAACCACGUGUAUCUUAAGAAGGACUUGCACAUGGUCAACUUUGAUUCUACUUACAUUAACGAUGACUCCAUUUGGUCCUCCAACAACAAGGACUGCCUGGUCCUCAUGAGAAUAUGCUUUUACGCUUUCAAUCUUGUGUGCUUGUCCUUGUGUCCCCUGCCACUUUGA
ensembl:lincRNA